rnacentral:snRNA from 1 species
GUGCUGGGAUUAAAGGCGUGCGCCACCACCGCCCGGCUAGCACAUACUCUAAAAUUAGAACAAUACAGAGAAGAUUAGCCUGGCCCUGUGCAAGGCUGACAAGCAAAUUCAUGACGUAUUCCAUAUUUUA